CUGCCCCAUACCGGGGGAUAACAGUUGGAAACGGCUGCUAAUACCGCAUAAGCGCACAGAGCUGCAUGGCUCAGUGUGAAAAACUCCGGUGGUAUGGGAUGGGCCCGCGUCUGAUUAGGCAGUUGGCGGGGUAACGGCCCACCAAACCGACGAUCAGUAGCCGGCCUGAGAGGGCGACCGGCCACAUUGGGACUGAGACACGGCCCAAACUCCUACGGGAGGCAGCAGUGGGGAAUAUUGCACAAUGGGGGAAACCCUGAUGCAGCGACGCCGCGUGAGCGAAGAAGUAUUUCGGUAUGUAAAGCUCUAUCAGCAGGGAAGAUAAUGACGGUACCUGACUAAGAAGCCCCGGCUAACUACGUGCCAGCAGCCGCGGUAAUACGUAGGGGGCAAGCGUUAUCCGGAUUUACUGGGUGUAAAGGGAGCGUAAACGGCAAGGCAAGUCUGAUGUGAAAACCCAGGGCUUAACCCUGGGACUGCAUUGGAAACUGUCUGGCUCGAGUGCC
rnacentral:rRNA from 1 species